AGCAGUCGCCGCGGUAAUACGAAGGGUGCAAGCGUUACUCGGAAUUACUGGGCGUAAAGCGUGCGUAGGUGGUGGUUUAAGUCCGUUGUGAAAGCCCUGGGCUCAACCUGGGAAUUGCAGUGGAUACUGGGUCACUAGAGUGUGGUAGAGGAUAGUGGAAUUUCCGGUGUAGCAGUGAAAUGCGUAGAGAUCGGAAGGAACAUCUGUGGCGAAGGCGACUAUCUGGGCCAACACUGACACUGAGGCACGAAAGCGUGGGGAGCGAACAGGAUUAGAUACCCGCGUAGUCCCUGUCUCUUAUAA
rnacentral:rRNA from 1 species